CCCUUAGACGUUCUGGGCCGCACGCGCGCUACACUGACGGAGCCAGCGAGUAUAAACCUUGGCCGAGAGGUCUGGGAAAUCUUGUGAAACUCCGUCGUGCUGGGGAUAGAGCAUUGUAAUUAUUGCUCUUCAACGAGGAAUUCCUAGUAAGCGCAAGUCAUCAGCUUGCGUUGAUUACGUCCCCGCCCUUUGUACACACCGCCCGUCGCUACUACCGAUUGAAUGGCUUAGUGAGGCUUCCGGAUUGGUUUAGAGAAGGGGGCAACUCCAUCUUGGAACCGAGAAGCUAGUCAAACUUGGUCAUUUAGAGGAAGUAAAAGUCGUAACA
rnacentral:rRNA from 1 species